ensembl:lncRNA LINC-PINT long intergenic non-protein coding RNA, p53 induced transcript
AGCGGAGCCCUCCCUGCUCCCGGGCGGCUCUGGAGGAGCUCGGUGUUUGCCUCUAGCCCUUCGCUACCGGAGGAUCAGGUUCCUCCCCUCCUCCCCCUCCAGCUCCGGCCGCCGCCGCCGCCGCCGCCGCCUCCUUCUUGCAUGACACAGCAGAACCGCAGCUGCUGCAGCAAUUUCAAGCCAUCCGCCCAGGAAGCGCCGCAACCGGGACUCGGGAGGGGUGGAGGGGGCGAGGCAGAGGCCGCGGCCCCAGGGGAUCCUUGGCCCCACUGUGCACCACACACUCCUUUCCCAGCCCAGGGGCACGCGAACAAAAUGAGGCUCAAGCUGACCAGGCCGAGCCGGAGGAACGCUGGGGCUUGGCAGCAGAAGGGAUGGGACCAGAGAGAAGGGUGUGGAGGAGACCCCAGUGAGGGCCAGGACAUUUCAGGUAAAGAGAGGUCAUAUCUCCGUACCUCACUUCCUGACACAAACAAGUUUUCACUGUUGUCAGCAACAAAGCCCUAAUAUAGCUGCGGAAGAGAAAAACUGCAUUGCAUUUUGCCUCCUGCAAGCAUCAUCAACAGUUACUGGAGGAACGUAAUUCCAGAAAGCUUGAAAGCCGUGGUGAUGGUAAUUAUGUAUCAAAUGCCUGGUUCUAUUUCUGUUAUUAUUGUUUUGUCAUUUCUGUUUUCCCAGCGAUCUGACUGAACUCGCAGAGGGACAAAUCCAGUUUUUCUUUUUGACUUUUGUCAAACUAAAUCAGGCCUGAUAGAAAACUCAUUGCUCUCCGGGGAAACAAAGUAGGAGCCACGAAAUGUCAUUUUAACAGAGCGUGGGUUUGGUGACUGUAGGAAAGGAUUUGAGGACGCUCCUUCUGUUCGGCUUCCUAUGUCAUGAGCACAGGCUCCACGCACGCACAGACACCACGGCUCCCGGAUGCUGUGGCUCCCCGAUCGGGGCUCCUGCAGCGCCAGAAGCCCCUCCGGGAUGCUUCGAGGGGCUCCCGGUGGGUGGAGGUACGGACGCCGCUGCGGCCGCCGCCGCCAGUCCUGCUGCUGUUGUUGCUGCUGCAGUCACGUGGGAGCCCCUUUAAGUUUCCAUAGAGAGGCCUCUCUGGUGUCACAUGAUGGACAUGAUAUAAUGAAACAACAUUGUGGAGAGGAAAGCAUUAGGGGAGCCCACGGCUACAAAAACAAGUGAGUGAGAAGAGGUGGGAGGAAGAGAAACUACGCCACCUCCCCUGCAGCCGAGUGCACGCAGCAGCCUGGCGUGACAAGUGGGCGACGCCGGGGGGCAGGGAGCCGGGGUCCUUGGCCCUGGCCGGGGACCCCACCGCCCACCGCGCGGAGGACAACUUUUAGCCGGCAGCCCAGACCAGCGCGGCACCUGUCUCCGGAGUCUCCACCGCUCCUCCCGAUUCAUCCCAGGGAAAUUCUCAAGAAUACGCUCUACAAAUCUACGUGCGCAUCAUUUUCACCUCGCGUCGCGCCCGGGAGGAAGGAACGAGGCAAGGAGCUAAAGCAGCGUGCGUUCAGCCCUGGGGCAUUUUAUUAAUGCUUUUACGAGUUAGAAGAGUUGGGAUAAUUUGCCAUCUGGAGUUUCUCUGCCUUGCUGAUCUGAGCUCAGACCUGCCAAUUUACCAGAGAUAAUUGAUAACACCCUGUAACAGCUGAAGACAGAGUCUUACCCUGUCACCCAGGCUGGAGUACAAUGGUGCGAUCUCGGCUCACUGCAACCUCUGCCUCCUGGGUUCAAGUGAUUCUUCUGCCUCAGCCUCCUGAGUAGCUGGGACUACAGGAGGAAAAUGGAAGAAACGGAGAUACUUUUAGUGAAGCAGAAUAAACCACUGAACAGGAAAAAUGAGGAAGCUGUGAGUACCAGUGGAAGGAACGAGCCAGGAAGAGGGACUGGAACCAUCUCAGAAGCCAUGCCCCUCAGGCUGGAACUUGCCCUGUCUCCUCGCAGAUGAGGUAGGAGGCUCAGCACGGGCUGGUGGGAGCAGCCCACAGCAGCAGUGAGGGUCAGUGGGCCUGUGAGUUAAGAAGAAGGUGGCACAGAGCGAGGGUCUCUGGAUCCUGACUGUUUGACUUUUCCAUGAUUAGGAUAAGUAGCCAGGGCUUGGCUAGUUGGAGAGUUACUCGAACCUCAGGUGACAGUUGUAAGGCAGCACAUAGUGAAAAAGAGUCCUAGCCUGGGAAAGUCCAAAACCUUAGGUCUGGUUUCAGUUCACUCACCUAUCUCUGUGACAUAGCAAAGUCUGUUAAUUUCUCUAAUUUUCUGAUUAGUAGUAUAGUUGCAGGAAUGAAAUAAAAAUGGUCCUGAUUACUCAGAGAUUCAUUUACUGAUUACUCUUUUUGUGACCUGAAUAAAGAGUACAACAUCUCUCAAAAGGUAACAAUAUGAUGUUUCAGGAAAUUAGAGAAGUUAAGAGACUUUGCUGUAUUUACUAUACAGAUAGUUGACUGACAGCUGAGCCCGGACCCAAGAUUCAUUUAUAAAAUGAAGGAGUUGAGAAGUACAUACUCUGAGGUUUAUCCUAAAUAAACUGAAGUCUAGGCAAGUGGCUGAGCUAGGUUUGCCAUGAAUCAAUCUGCUGAGUAUAUUUCUUGGUAACUAGUUCAUCUUUCCUUAAUUCAGUCAACAAAUAUGAUAUCAAGUUUAGUAAGAUGAUGACAGUUGUCAUGUAAUACUCCAUCUGGAAGAUUGUAUGCUUCUCAGCUUCCCUAACUUUUCUUAAUCUACCUUAAGCUUCCUUUCUGAAAGGUUUCUGUCUUUCCUAACAGUCUCUUCUUUCCGCCAGCUACCUCUUGUGUUUAAGAAUUAAAGGAAGAUGAGCUAGGAAUCAAGAAAUACGCAGAACUGAUUCCUGUCACUGGCGCCACCCUGCCACUUGCCCAGAGCUGUGGUAUAAAUUUUUUUAAUAGGCUGAAAUAAAAAUAUGAAUAGCAUUUUGGUAUUAAGCAUUAAAUUGAUAAAGGCUAUGAGAUACACCUGCUCUCAACCAUGUUAAUUUUUUAUUAUUGGUAUUAAUAAAUUAUUACUUACUAACAUAUUAACAAGAAUUGCAUUGAGAAACAAAGCAUCCACAGGCCAAAUCUUCUGAAUUUCAAAUGUUUAUAUUAAUGCGUUGUAUUCUAGAAAAGUAGAAUUGUCUUAAGUAGCUUUGUAAUAUAAAGUCAUCUAUCAGCCCAUUACACCUAUUAGAAUGUUUUAACCUUUAUUUCCCACUUUUUUGUUUCUAGACUGAGUGUACUUGGUCUGGUAUUUGUGGCAUAACUUACGGAACACAUAAGAAUGAUACAGAUACUAUUUAAUGAUGACCUAAUACAAGCUUAGAUAGCUAAGGUGAAAGCUUCUAUGGCCUUAACAUUUUCCUCUUGAAGAAUGUAUUUUCUGUAAUAAAAUACAGUGGCUACUUGAAAUCUAUAAACUUAUGUGAGGUCUGGAUAAAUCUGAGCAACUUUCUUCUUUGUGCUCCAGGAACCUACGCACUAUAUAUAUAAAUAAAGCUUAAGUAAACAUCACUGCAA